rnacentral:rRNA from 1 species
CAAGAGUAUGUAUAGGGGGUGACACUUGACCAAUGCCAGAAGGUCAAAUAAGGCCGUUCCUAUCUCGCAAGAGGUAGGGGUGACGCUUUAUAAGCCCUGGUGAAUGUCGGCGAUAACUAUAAUCGUCCUAAGGUAGCGAAAUUCCUUGUCUGGUAAGUUCAGACGCGCACGAAUAGUGUAACGACUGGGGAACUGUCUCGGAGCACAGCUCGGUGAAAAUACAAUACCGGUGAAGAUGCCGGUUACCUGCAGAUAGACGAAAAGACCCCAGAAGCUUUACUGUAGCUUGAUAUUGCGUAUACGACGUGAUUGCGUAGCAUAGAUGGGAGAGGUUGAGAGCAUGAUCUUGGUUGUGCUGGACUCGUCAGUGAAAUACCAUUCUUUCUAGUUGUAUGCGCUAACCGGCGAGGACAAAACCUUGUCGAGACAGUAUCUGGUAGGCAGUUUUAGUGGGGCGCUAUCCUCCUAAAAAGUAACGGAGGAGUUCAUUAAGGUACCCUAGGCGCGAAUGGAAACCGUGCCGAUAGUGUAUUGGCAAAAGGGUGCUUGACUGCAAGUCGUGAAUGACGAGCAGGUGCGAAAGCAGGACAAAGUGAACCGACCAUGCGCAUUAGAUGCGGUGGAAGAUUAUCUGACAAAAGCUACUCUGGGGAUAACAGGCUAGUUGCGCCUAAGCGUCCAUAGCGACGGCGCAGUUCGGCACCUCGAUGUCGGCUCACCGUAUCCCGGGGGUGAAGAAGCUCCCAAGGGUUUGGCUGUUCGCCAAUUAAAACGGUACGCGAGCUGGGUUCAGACCGUUCAGGUUCUCAUAUCAAGGACUCUCCUUGAUAAAUGGGGGAUUGAACGAUCUGAACCCUCGAGAGAAAAGAAAAAACUGUUUGAAAUUUUUCGUUUAUAAACAAAUAGAAUAGAUAAGAAACAACCAAUCACGGCGGUCGAGUAUAGAAAUAUAUUCGAAGAAGCUAAUUGAUAUCGGGAAAAUCCUAUACUUAGGAAAAUUCCGAGGGAAGGGUAGUUCGAUAGAACUCACUAUGAAUUUUUUCGGAAAAAACCACCCGUAGAGACUGAACAUUAGCCUUCCGUAACUUUAUAAGUUUGGGAAGAAGAUACAGUCCAUUCCACUUAGUAAUAAGUGAAAAGAAGCGUGAGACAGGUUGGUCUCCUAUCUACUGCAGGCGUCGAUUAUUGAAGAGAUUUGCUCCUAGUACGAGAGGACCGGAGUGAACGAACCACUGGUCUGCCAGCUGUUCUGCCAAGGGCAACGCUGGGUAGCUAUGUUCGGAUUUGGAUAAGCGCUGAAAGCAUCUAAGCGCGAAGCCGACUCUAAGAUGAGUAAUCAUUAAGAUCCGUCAGAGAUGAUGACGUUGAUAGGCUUUAGGUGUACGCGCCGCAAGGCGUUGAGCCGAGAAGUACUAAUUGAUCGAUUGUUUCCUCCUC